rnacentral:siRNA from 1 species
CCAAAAGAUAAUUCGGUUCAUUAU